GCUGGGGGAGAGCGUUUCCUUUCCAGAACAAUCACAACACAGAAAGGGAAAAACAAAGCAGCAGAUGGAUUUGAGAAAUUUGAGACCCCCAACCUUGUAUAUUGUGGAGACCUUUGCUGCAGGAGACCUUUGCUCUGGCAAAUGGAAACUGUCAUAUUCUUUUUUCUGUACAUCUCAACCUGCCAGGACACACGUGUAGGAUACAGUGUAUGAAAGAGUCCCAACAGAAGGGCACAGAAAACAAUUAUGAAUCCAGGAAGUUUACAAAGACAUGGGAUUCAAUUCUUUAGUGGAAAUGACUUUGUCUCAUCUCUGUUCCAUGAUUCUGUAUUUCUGAUGGAAUAAUUUAUGAUAAUAAAAGACUGAGAGAA